ensembl:misc_RNA 7SK 7SK RNA
GGCUCUAUCCUGGGUAUUAACAUUACUGGUGGCCAGGACUGAUUCUUUUCAGCUGGCUGCCUAGGCCAAUGUUCCCUUCCUCCCUCCUCACUCCAUGUGUGUCCUCCCAAAGCUGUACACUUGUCAAAAGAGAAUGACCUUCCUUGAUAUGGGAGCAUUUUUCUUUGCUCUAGAGUAUGCAAGUAGCUCUGUUCCCCUCCUGGGACCUCAAGACAAGCUCUCAUGGCCCAUUUGUAGGAAAAUGCAAGGGGGUCAAGGUUCUUGAACACCAGAAAUGUCCAACUGAGGUGCUGCUUGUGCAAUCUGCAUUUCCUA